UUUCAUAGGAAAGGAAAAAGUGAGCUUGGAUUGAAGAAUUAUGUAUCUUUGGAGCCUUACACUAGUUGGGUGAAGAAGAGAGCAAAAGAAUUCAAGAUGUCAUACACUUAUGAAAGACCCAUGUCUUUAGUAAUGGUCAAACCGCCCACUAUUAAAGGCAUAAAGGAGUUGUAAGACGCUUUGCAUAGGAUGAAGUAAGAG
rnacentral:lncRNA from 1 species